GUGGCGGAUAGCUCAGUUGGAUAGAGCGCUUACAUCCUUGUUUGUACCUUGUCUGCAAAGACCGAAUAAUGAGGGUUAUCGGCUUCACCCGAGAGGUCGCAGGUUCGAGUCCUGCUCCGCUACA
rnacentral:tRNA from 1 species